GUCCUUAAAUGGUUAAGGGGAGAUACCAUGAUCGAGAAGGUGGUUCACCCUGGGCGAGGCUCAGCCGUUGCUCUCUGGUUGUCCUAACCCCAGUGAAUUACCCAAUGUGGGAAUCACGACUGCAUAAUUUCUGGUUGUGGGGCAUCCGCACUCUGGUGGGGUUGGG